GAAAAGAAACCAACAGGGAUUGCCCUAGUAACGGCGAGUGAAGCGGCAACAGCUCAAAUUUGAAAUCUGGCCUCGGCCCGAGUUGUAAUUUGCAGAGGAUGUUUCUGGCGCGGUGCCUUCCGAGUUCCCUGGAACGGGACGCCACAGAGGGUGAGAGCCCCGUAUGGUUGGACACUAAGCCUGUGUGAAACUCCUUCGACGAGUCGAGUAGUUUGGGAAUGCUGCUCAAAAUGGGAGGUAAAUCUCUUCUAAAGCUAAAUACCGGCCAGAGACCGAUAGCGCACAAGUAGAGUGAUCGAAAGAUGAAAAGCACCUUGAAAAGGGGGUUAAACAGUACGUGAAAUUGUUGAAAGGGAAGCGCUUGUGACCAGACUUGCGCCGGGCGGCUCAUCCGGGGUUCUCCCCGGUGCACUCCGCCCGGCUCAGGCCAGCAUCGGUUCUCGUUGGGGGAUAAGAACGGCAGGAACGUGGCCCUCCUUCGGGUGGGUGUUAUAGCCUGCCGUACGAUACCCUGACGGGGACCGAGGUUCGCGCUCCGCAAGGAUGCUGG
rnacentral:rRNA from 1 species